rnacentral:rRNA from 1 species
CUACGAAGGUCCCAAGCGUUAUUCGGAAUCACUGGGCGUAAAGAGUACGUAGGCGGUUUGGUAAGUCAGGUGUGAAAUCCCGAAGCUCAACUUCGGAACUGCAUCCGAUACUGCCAGACUAGAGUAAUGGAGAGGCAGGUGGAAUUCUCGGUGUAGCAGUGAAAUGCGUGGAUAUCGAGAGGAAGACCAAUGGCGAAGGCAGCCUGCUGGACAUUUACUGACGCUGAGGUACGAAGGCUAGGGGAGCGAAAGGGAGUAGAUACCCUAGUAGUCC